rnacentral:rRNA from 1 species
AUUGAACGCUGGCGGCAGGCCUAACACAUGCAAGUCGAGCGGGUGAAGGGAGCUUGCUCCUGGAUUCAGCGGCGGACGGGUGAGUAAUGCCUAGGAAUCUGCCUGGUAGUGGGGGAUAACGUCCGGAAACGGGCGCUAAUACCGCAUACGUCCUGUGGGAGAAAGUGGGGGAUCUUCGGACCUCACGCUAUCAGAUGAGCCUAGGUCGGAUUAGCUAGUUGGUGGGGUAAAGGCCUACCAAGGCGACGAUCCGUAACUGGUCUGAGAGGAUGAUCAGUCACACUGGAACUGAGACACGGUCGAGACUCCUACAGGAGGCAGCAGUGGGGAAUAUUGGACGAUGGGCGAGUGCCUGAUCCAGCCAUGCUGCGUGUGUGAAGAAGGUCUUCGGAUUGUAAAGCACUUUAAGUUGGGAGGAAGGGCAGUAAGUUAAUACCUUGCUGUUUUGACGUUACCAACAGAAUAAGCACCGGCUAACUUCGUG